UACGUAGGGGGCAAGCGUUGUCCGGAUUUAUUGGGCGUAAAGAGCGUGUAGGCGGCUUUACAGGUCCGUUGUGAAAACUCGAGGCUCAACCUCGAGACGCCGGUGGAAACCGUAAAGCUAGAGUCCGGAAGAGGAGAGUGGAAUUCCUGGUGUAGCGGUGGAAUGCGCAGAUAUCAGGAGGAACACCGAUGGCGAAGGCAGAUCUCUGGGCCGUAACUGACGCUGAGGAGCGAAAGCAUGGGGAGCGAACAGG
rnacentral:rRNA from 1 species